rnacentral:lncRNA from 1 species
AUAAUUAUUUUGAGCAGGAGAUAUGAGGAUGGCCUGAGGGCAGCUUCUGAAGCCCAAGCUCAGACCUUCAGGGAUAAUCUCAAUUUUAAACAGGGUCUCCAUCCCUUAUCCCCCUAAAUGUCAGCCCAUGAAGUCUUUUAUUCUUUUAUUUAUUUAUUUAUUUAUUUAUUUAUUUUAUUUAUUUAUUUUUGUCUUUUUAGGGUCACACCUGCACCACAUGGAAGUUCCCAGGCUAGGGGUCCAAUGAGAGCUACCACUGCCGGUCUACACCACAGCCACAGCAACACCAGAUCCGAGCCACAACUUCGACCUACGCUGCAGCUUGUGGCAAUGCCGGAUCCUUAGUCCACUGAGCGAGGCCAGGGAUCGAACCCGUGUCCUCAUGGAUGCUAGUCAGAUUCGUUUCCACUGAGCCACAACGGGAACUCCCCAUUAGGUCUUGAUGUUCACAGGAUAAGAUCCAAGAAGAAUGCUCUGCUUGGAAAUCUGUGCUCAAUCUUAAGACUUUGCAAACAGAGAAAAUAAAUCUCCAUGUCAGUUAACAAACAAAUGUGCUAUUUCAAAAGAUCUAAAACAAGAACUUUAGAAAUGGACAGAGCCCAGGAAACGGACCCAAAUCCUAUUUCGUAAGGCACUUCCAAGCUGUGUUGACUUAUUUCAGCUUGACUAGAGACCCAACAAAUUAACAAUAGCUUGUGCUUUAUGCAAAGCUACAAAAAGACAAUGCCAUCAUCCCAAGAGUUCCUCUGAAGAUGUGGCACCAUAGAAAUGACUGCCCUGGGUCUUGGUGCACUAAUUUCCUUCCAAGGCCCCCAGCGCCCUAGAUUCACUCUUUUAUAUUCCAAACCGUACAUGUGCCUAGAGGCAACACAAGACUGCCUUGAAGUUAGACUCCUGAAAAACAUUAUCUAACUUGAAUCAUGCAAAGUUCAAAACGGAGUUAACAUUUUUUAAGUUCCACAAUUCCAAAAGAAGUUUAAAAUUAUAAGAAAAACACUCCAGGGGACGGACUGAAACAGCAAUAAAAUCACCUUUUAAAUAACGGUUAAGAGUACAAAAAAGAAAAAACAAAUGAGGACU